rnacentral:rRNA from 1 species
UACGUAGGGUGCAAGCGUUAAUCGGAAUUACUGGGCGUAAAGCGUGCGCAGGCGGUUGUGCAAGACAGGUGUGAAAUCCCCGAGCUCAACUUGGGAACUGCACUUGUGACUGCACGGCUAGAGUACGGUAGAGGGGAGUGGAAGUCCGCGUGUAGCAGUGAAAUGCGUAGAUAUGCGGAGGAACACCGAUGGCGAAGGCAGCUCCCUGGACCUGUACUGACGCUCAUGCACGAAAGCGUGGGGAGCAAACAGG